UGUCCAGCAACUCCUAUCCCUACCUCAACGCGGUACAAGCCGGAAACUAUGAGCAACCUUAGGGAAGAUCGGGUAACCAACUCCGGUGGGAACUUUGGUCGUAGGCUGACAGGAAAGG
rfam:Aedes albopictus isolate Foshan contig6572, whole genome shotgun sequence.